CCUACGGGAGGCAGCAGUGGGGAAUAUUGCACAAUGGGCGAAAGCCUGAUGCAGCAACGCCGCGUGAGCGAUGAAGGCCUUCGGGUCGUAAAGCUCUGUCCUCAAGGAAGAUAAUGACGGUACUUGAGGAGGAAGCCCCGGCUAACUACGUGCCAGCAGCCGCGGUAAUACGUAGGGGCCUAGCGUUAUCCGGAAUUACGGGGCGUAAGGGGUGCGUAGGUGGUUUCUUAAGUCAGAGGGGAAAGGCUACGGCUCAACCGUAGUAAGCCUUUGAAACUGGGGAACUUGAGUGCAGGAGAGGAGAGUGGAAUUCCUAGUGUAGCGGUGAAAUGCGUAGAUAUUAGGAGGAACACCAGUGGCGAAGGCGGCUCUCUGGACUGUAACUGACACUGAGGCACGAAAGCGUGGGGAGCAAACAGGAUUAGAUACCCCAGUAGUC
rnacentral:rRNA from 1 species